UUUAGCCUUCGGGCGAAGAUUUUAGUGGCGAACGGGUGCGUAACACGUGAGAAUCUGCCUUUAGGAAAAGGAUAACUACUAGAAAUAGUAACUAAUACUUUAUAUGCCUUAGGGUGAAAGAAGCAAUUCGCCUAAAGAGGAGCUCGCGUCUGAUUAGCUAGUUGGUAGGGUAAGAGCCUACCAAGGCGACGAUCAGUAGCUGGUUUGAGAGGAUGAUCAGCCACAUUGGAACUGAGACACGGUCCAGACUCCUACGGGAGGCAGCAGUAAGGAAUAUUCUACAAUGGGCGAAAGCCUGAUAGAGCAAUACCGCGUGAGGGACGAAUGCCUACGGGUUGUAAACCUCUUUUCUCAAGGAGGAAGAACUGACGUUACUUGAGGAAUAAGCAUCGGCUAACCCUGUGCCAGCAGCCGCGGUAAUACAGGGGAUGCAAGUUUUAUUCGGAAUUAUUGGGCGUAAAGCGUCUGCAGGUUGACAUAAAAGUCUUUUGUUAAAUAUCAGAGCUCAACUCGGAAUCUGCAAAAGAUACUAUAUGUCUUGAGUAUGGUAGAGGUAAGGGGAAUUUCCAGUGGAGCGGUGAAAUGCGUAGAUAUUGGAAAGAACACCGAUAGCGAAGGCACCUUACUGGGCCAUUACUGACACUCAGAGACGAAAGCUAGGGGAGCAAACGGGAUUAGAUACCCCGGUAGUCCUAGCCGUAAACGAUGGAUACUAGAUGUUGUAUACUUUAUUGUAAACAGUGUCGUAGCUAACGCG
rnacentral:rRNA from 2 species